UGAAGGUUAACAAAAGCACAAACUGGAAAGUGUCUGUUCAAAACUUUUAUUAGAAUUGUUUAAGUACGGUAGCGUGGAGGAGGAAACGGAGGAAGCAUUGGUAUGGGCAAGUGAACAUGGGGAUGAUGUUUUGGCUUUGUUGCUGGAUAAAGAGGAUUAAAGGGAGGAUACAUGGGCAUAUAUCGUGGAAACGGCAUCUGAGCGUAUUGAGGCAUCGGAGGGUAGUGAGGCAUCGGAGGGUAUUGAGGCAUCGGAGGGUAUUGAGGCAUCGGAGGGUAUUGAGGCACCUCAGGGUAUUGAGGCAUCGAGGGUAUUGAGGCACCUCAGGGUAUUGAGGCGACCUCAGGGUAUUGAGGCAACUGAGGGUAUUGAGGUCAUCUCGAGGGUAUUGAGGCAUCGUGAGG